AGGGUCAGCUCAGUGGUAGAGCACGUGUUUAGCAUGCACGAGGUCCUGGGUUCAAGCCCCAGUGCCCCCA
rnacentral:tRNA from 1 species